AAACGCUACAUAAAAUGUCGCGACUUUUGCGAAAUUACCGUUUUGCCUUUAUCGACCUCUCCUCGGUCAACGCGCAAUCUCCGCAGAUUCGUCCGUCAGAUUUGCGAAUGGAUCGCACUAGUGCUAUCAGCACGACGGAGACAACAAAGCUACGAUUUCAUUUCACCUCGAUAGACCACAGAUUCACGACAAAGUCCAACCUUUCUCGCCAACAGAGGAAACAACACGAAAAUACAUAUAAAACAUGUAUUUUUGGAUUUUCU
rnacentral:lncRNA from 1 species